rnacentral:rRNA from 1 species
UGGGGAAUAUUGGGCAAUGGGCGCAAGCCUGACCCAGCAACGCCGCGUGAAGGAAGAAGGCUUCGGGUUGUAAACUUCUUUUCUGAGGGACGAAGAAAGUGACGGUACCUCAGGAA